GAUGAACGCUGGCGGCGUGCCUAAUACAUGCAAGUCGAGCGAACAGAUAAGGAGCUUGCUCCUUUGACGUUAGCGGCGGACGGGUGAGUAACACGUGGGUAACCUACCUAUAAGACUGGGAUAACUUCGUGAAACCGGAGCUAAUACCGUAUAACAUUUGGAACCGCAUGGUUCUAAAGUGAAAGAUGGUUUUGCUCUCACUUAUAGAUGGACCCGCGCCGUAUUAGCUAGUUGGUAAGGUAACGGCUUACCAAGGCGACGAUACGUAGCCGACCUGAGAGGGUGAUCGGCGACACUGGAACUGAGACACGGUCCAGAGUCCUAGGGGAGGCAGCGGUAGCGAAUCUUGCGAAAUGGGCGAAAGCCUGACGGAGCAACGCAGCGUGAGUGAUGAAGGGCUUCGGCUCGUAAAACUCUGUUAUUAGGGAAGAACAAAUGUGUAAGUAACUGUGCACGUCUUGACGGUACCUAAACAGAAAGCAACGGCCAACUACGUG
rnacentral:rRNA from 1 species